CUCGCAGUAUGGCGGGCGGGGCCCGGGAGGUGCUCACACUGCAGUUGGGACAUUUUGCCGGUUUUGUGGGCGCGCACUGGUGGAACCAGCAGGUGAGGUCAGCCGGCAGCUGCCCCCGAGAAGCCCUUCGGGAUCUACACUCCCGACGUUCAGCCGGCCCGCCUGGUCCUCUCUGCUUCCCCAGGAUGCUGCGCUGGGCCAAGCGACCGAUUCCAAGGAGCCCCUGGGAGAGCUGUGCCCCGACGUCCUGUAUCGUACGGGCCGAACGCUGCACGGCCAGGAGACCUACACGCCGCGACUCAUCCUCAUGGAUCUGAAGGGUAGUUUGAGCUCCCUAAAAGAGGAAGGUGGACUCUACAGGGACAAACAGUUGGAUGCUGCAAUAGCAUGGCAGGGGAAGCUCACCACACACAAAGAGGAACUCUAUCCCAAGAACCCUUAUCUCCAGGACUUUCUGAGUGCAGAGAGGCCAGCAUCAGGGUCUGGUCAGACUUCCUCAGAGUCCAUCUCCAUCCCCGGAGCAUCUGUAUGAUUCAGAAGUACAACCACGAUGGGGAAGCAGGUCGGCUGGAGGCUUUUGGCCAAGGGGAAAGUGUCCUAAAGGAACCCAAGUACCAGGAAGAGCUGGAGGACAGGCUGCACUUCUACGUGGAGGAAUGUGACUACUUGCAGGGCUUCCAGAUCCUGUGUGACCUGCACGAUGGCUUCUCUGGGGUAGGCGCAAAGGCGGCAGAGCUGCUACAAGAUGAAUAUUCAGGGCGGGGAAUAAUAACGUGGGGCCUGCUACCUGGUCCCUACCAUCGUGGGGAGGCCCAGAGAAACAUCUAUCGUCUAUUAAACACAGCUUUUGGUCUCGUGCACCUGACUGCUCACAGCUCUCUCGUCUGCCCCUUGUCCCUGGGUGGGAGCCUGGGCCUACGACCUGAGCCACCUGUCAACUUCCCUUACCUGCAUUAUGAUGCCACUCUGCCCUUCCACUGCAGUGCCAUCCUGGCUACAGCCCUGGACACAGUCACUGUUCCUUAUCGCCUGUGUUCUUCUCCAGUUUCCAUGGUUCAUCUGGCUGACAUGCUGAGCUUCUGUGGGAAAAAGGUAUGAAGCUUUGUGAGGGGUUGGGUCAGUGCUGAGAAAAUGUCCUAUAACGUGUUCUCUUCCUUCUCUUUAGGUGGUGACAGCAGGAGCAAUCAUCCCUUUCCCCUUGGCUCCAGGCCAGUCCCUUCCUGAUUCCCUGAUGCAGUUUGGAGGAGCCACCCCAUGGACCCCACUGUCUGCAUGUGGGGAGCCUUCUGGAACACGUUGCUUUGCCCAGUCAGUGGUGCUGAGGGGUAUAGACAGAGCAUGCCACACAAGCCACAGACUAAUGGUGGUUUUGGCUUUGUUCUGGCAGCCAGCUCACCCCAGGGACACCUCCACCCUCCGCCCUUCAUGCAUGUACCACUGGGGAAGAAGUCUUGGCUCAGUAUUUACAACAGCAGCAGCCUGGAGUGAUGAGUUCUUCCCGUCUGCUGCUGACUCCCUGCAGGGUGGCUCCUCCUUACCCCCACCUCUUCUCAAGCUGCGGUCCACCGGGUAUGGUUCUGGAUGGUUUCCCCAAGGGAGCAGCAGUGGAGAGCAUCCCAGUGUUUGGGGCACUGUGUUCCUCUUCGUCCCUGCACCAGACCCUGGAAGCCUUGGCCAGAGACCUCACCAAACUCGACUUGCGGCGCUGGGCCAGCUUCAUGGAUGCUGGAGUGGAGCACGAUGACAUAGCAGAGCUGCUGCAGGAGCUACAAAGCCUGGCCCAGUGCUACCAGGAUGGUGACAGCCUCGUGGACUAAAGUUCCCAGUGUGGGAGAAAGGAGCUAGUUUGCCAUAAAAACAGCUGGAUGCAGGAGCCCAGUGUCUUCGUGCAGAGGAGCUCAAUGUCGCGGGACUAGCUACACCAACAUAUGCACUUUGUACAUUUAGAAACACUGCGAUUAGACCACAGAACAAUAAAUAUGUGCCAUCAGACCAAAAGAAAAAAGUAGAGAAAGGAGCUGAACUCCACUCUUGAUGCUAUUUACAGAGAUCUGUAAAGUCUUCAUAAAAGACCUUGAAUGAUGCCUAGGAUGGCAGAGCCCCUGGGUCCUACUCCAUCCUCCAGCCUUUGUCCUUUUCCUCGGCUCCUGCUCUCCAAGUCUGUAAACUGGGCGCAAGGACUGUACAAGCAGAGUACAACUACCCGCCUCCCCAGUGCCAGGGCGCCUGUUGGGUUUGGUCCUAUGUAGAUGAUUCCCAGAGUCUCAUUCACCCAGCUCCUCUUCAGACAGAAGGUCCCCAUGGUCAGACAGCUGGUCUGCAUUGCUGGUACUGGUUGCAUCAUCCUCAUCCUCAGAGCUGGCUUCACAGGCAGUGUGGAAGAGCUGCAUGAGUUCUCAAAAACAGUGGGAAACCUAAGAAAGGAGGAGGGCUGUAUUCACUGAUCCUUAGUAACAUGUUAACAUUUAUGAAGCAUUAU
rnacentral:sRNA from 1 species